rnacentral:rRNA from 1 species
AAACAUUUUAUUGAAGCUUCGGCAGAUUUAGCUUGUUUCUAGUGGCGGACGGGUGAGUAACGCGUGGGUAACCUGCCUUAUACUGGGGGAUAACAGCCAGAAAUGACUGCUAAUACCGCAUAAGCGCACAGAACCGCAUGGUUCGGUGUGAAAAACUCCGGUGGUAUAAGAUGGACCCGCGUUGGAUUAGCUAGUUGGCAGGGCAGCGGCCUACCAAGGCGACGAUCCAUAGCCGGCCUGAGAGGGUGAACGGCCACAUUGGGACUGAGACACGGCCCAGACUCCUACGGGAGGCAGCAGUGGGGAAUAUUGCACAAUGGGGGAAACCCUGAUGCAGCGACGCCGCGUGAAGGAAGAAGUAUCUCGGUAUGUAAACUUCUAUCAGCAGGGAAGAUAAUGACGGUACCUGACUAAGAAGCCCCGGCUAACUACGUGCCAGCAGCCGCGGUAAUACGUAGGGGGCAAGCGUUAUCC